ensembl:lncRNA
GAGAGUCUUUAAAGCUGAAAGAGAGUAGAAGAGGUCAAAAUCAGAGGGAGAUGUAACCAUAGGAGAACCGUCAGAAAGACGUGACACUGACUAGCUUCAAAGAUCAACUUUGCAGAGGAAGAGAGAGAAAAAUGAGUCAAAAAUUUUUCACCCAGUGUUUUAUCUUUUCUGGGAACUAGACACUGGAGCCUCUGUGGCCUCAGGGAUACCUUAAAUAAUGACAAAGGCAAUGGCACCCUACUCCAGUACUCUUGCCUGGAAAAUCCCAUGGACGGAGGAGCCUGGAAGACUGCAGUCCAUGGGGUCGCUAAGAGUCGGACACGAGUGAGCGACUUCGCUUUCACGUUUCACUUUCAUGCAUUGGAGAAGAAAAUGGCAACCCACUCCAGUGUUCUGGCCUGGAGAAUCCCAGGGAUGGGGGAGCCUGGUUGGCUGCCAUCUAUGGGGUCGUACAGAGUUGGACACGACUGAAGUGACUUAGCAGCAGCAGCAUUCUCUUAUACUGUGCUGCAAUUUACACUGAUGAGACAAAAGCAAUAAUGUAUAAAUUCACCAGCAUCUUAGUAUAAAUCAAAGCAUAGUCAUUAAGCUGUACUGUCACUGUGUUCUUUACCAUCACACACAUACACACAUGCACACACACACACACACACACACACAAAUAACAUGCCAAGAAUAUGCUUGAUGAAUUAUUUAAAACUGUUCCUUUGAUUAAAUCUUAACCCUUGAGUACA